UCCCAAAUUUAUAAUCCUGAAUGUUUUUCCCAGGGAAGGUCAAACUCUUCAUCAUCCAGUCAUCAACCCUUCAUCAACAGCUGCUUGUAUUCUUCCAGCCCAAAGCUGGGGCUGUGUGACCUCACCACCCCACACCAGCACUUCUGGUGGGACAGGCGUGACUUUGGGGUGCAGUGUGAUGGUGAGCAACUUGCCCAGCUCUUCUGAAGCUCACAUUUAAUGAUUACCUGCUUUCUGACCAAAAUGGGACACCCUGCAUUUAGAACGAGGUAUUAAACAGUACCAUUGCUGUUUUAUGUGUUCCCAACGUUUUCUGUAAUAGCUUCUCUAAAAAUGUGUGGCAUAAACAAAAUUCUCAAGCACAUUGCAGUAAAAGGGUUUUAUUGGUGCUCAUUUGCACUGACCUACAUAGGUUGUGCUCAGGCUCCCCAUUCCUGAGCAGUGAUGCUCAUUCUGUACUGGAGCCAAGAAGGCACUUAAUCUAUGCCAAGCCAUCUUUUUUUCAAAGUACAUUUUGCCAUCAAAAUAAAGGCAUAAAUACAAUUUAUGUUCUGUUUGUAAAAUCAGGAAAAAUAAUAUCAAUGAAGAAAGAAGUCAGGAGUUACCCAUCCAAUGAUCUUACAAAGCAGGUCUGCAUAGAUCUAAUUUUUCACAUUUUAUCAAGAGCAGAGCCUGAAUUCCCAUCUAAAGAAUGGAAAUAAAAACACACUAGCACCUCUGAUUUGUUUAUUCUAAAAAACAUAAA